CAGCCGCCGCGGUAAUACCGGCGGCCCGAGUGGCGGCCACUAUUAUUGGGCUUAAAGCGUCCGUAGCCGGGUUGGUUAGUCUCCCGGGAAAUCUGGCCGCUUAACGGUCAGAAUUCCGGGAGAUACUGCCAGCCUAGGGACCGGGAGAGGCCGAGGGUAUUCCCGGAGUAGGGGUGAAAUCCUAUAAUCCCGGGAGGACCACCUGUGGCGAAGGCGCUCGGCUGGAACGCGUCCGACGGUGAGGGACGAAGGCCAGGGGAGCAAACCGGAUUAGAUACCCGGGUAGUCCUGGCUGUAAACGAUGCGGACUUUGUGUCGGACAAGCUAUGAGCUUGUCCGGUGCCGGAGGGAAACCGUUAAGUCCGCCGCCUGGGGAGUACGGCCGCAAGGCUGAAACUUAAAGGAAUUGGCGGG
rnacentral:rRNA from 1 species